GAGCCAUAGCGAAAGCGAGUCUGAAUAGGGCGUUUGUCAGUGUUUAUAGACCCGAACCCGGGUGAUCUAACCAUGGCCAGGAUGAAGCUUGGGUGAUACCAAGUGGAGGUCCGAACCGACUGAUGUUGAAAAAUCAGCGGAUGAGCUGUGGUUAGGGGUGAAAUGCCAAUCGAACCCGGAGCUAGCUGGUUCUCCCCGAAAUACGUUGAGGCGUAGCGUCUCGUGCUCCAGCAGGGGGGUAAAGCCACCAUUUCGGUGCGGGCUGCGAGAGCGGUACCAAAUCGAGAUGAACUCUGAAUACCCUGUGUGUAGCGAGGCAGUCAGACUGUGGGGGAUAAGCUCCAUGGUCGAGAGGGAAACAGCCCAGACCGCCAGUUAAGGUCCCCAAAUCAACACUAAGUGAUAAAGGAGGUGGGAUUGCCCAGACAACCAGGAGGUUUGCCUAGAAGCAGCCAUCCUCAAAGGAGUGCGUAAUAGCUCACUGGUCGAGCGAUCCUGCGCCGAAAAUGAACGGGGCUAAGUGUUGUACCGAAGCUGCGGAUUUAUGGUAGGGGAGCGUUCUAUGUGGGGCGAAGCGUUAGCGUGAGCGGGCGUGGACUGCAUAGAAGUGAGAAUGUCGGCUUGAGUAGCGAAAACAUGGGUGAGAAUCCCAUGCACCGAAACCCUAAGGGUUCCUCCGGCAGGCUCGUCCGCGGAGGGUUAGUCUGGACCUAAGGCGAGGCCGAAAGGCGUAGUCGAUGGAUAACAGGUCAACAUUCCUGUACCGGUUAUGUUUUGGGAAGAGGGACGGAGAAGGCUAGCCAAGCCAGAUGUUGGUUACUGGUUCAAGCGUUCGAGGCGUUGAGGAGCGGAGAAAACGUUCCGAGCUGAGGCGUGAGUACGAGCUGCUACGGCAGCGAAGUUGGUGAUGUCAUGCUUCCAAGAAAAGCUCUAUACCCGUUAAGGCAUAACUGCCAGUACCCGAAACCGACACAGGUGGGGUGGUAGAGAAUACCGAGGUGCGCGAGGUAACUCUCUCUAAGGAACUCGGCAAAAUGGCCCCGUAACUUCGGGAGAAGGGGUGCCACCGCAAGGUGGUCGCAGUGAAGAGGCCCUGGCGACUGUUUACCAAAAACACAGGUCUCCGCUAAGUCGCAAGACGAUGUAUGGGGGCUGACGCCUGCCCAGUGCCGGAAGGUUAAGGAAGCCGGUCAGCGUAAGCGAAGCUGGCGACUGAAGCCCCGGUGAACGGCGGCCGUAACUAUAACGGUCCUAAGGUAGCGAAAUUCCUUGUCGGGU
rnacentral:rRNA from 1 species